rnacentral:rRNA from 1 species
GGAGGAAUACCGGUGGCGAAGGCGGCCCCCUGGACAAAGACUGACGCUCAGGUGCGAAAGCGUGGGGAGCAAACAGGAUUAGAUACCCUGGUAGUCCACGCCGUAAACGAUGUCUACUUGGAGGUUGUGCCCUUGAGGCGUGGCUUCCGGAGCUAACGCGUUAAGUAGACCGCCUGGGGAGUACGGCCGCAAGGUUAAAACUCAAAUGAAUUGACGGGGGCCCGCACAAGCGGUGGAGCAUGUGGUUUAAUUCGAUGCAACGCGAAGAACC